GGAGAGGUUCGAGAGUGGCUUAAUCGGGCGGCCUGCUAAGCCGUUGUGGGCGCAAGUCCACCGUGGGUUCAAAUCCCACCCUCUCCGCCA
rnacentral:tRNA from 2 species